AACGAACGCUGGCGGCAUGCCUAACACAUGCAAGUCGAACGAGAUCUUCGGGUCUAGUGGCGCACGUGUGCGUAACGCGUGGGAAUCUGCCCUUUGGUUCGGAAUAACAGUUGGAAACGACUGCUAAUACCGGAUGAUGACGAAAUUCCAAAGAUUUAUCGCCAGAGGAUGAGCCCGCGUAUGAUUAGCUAGUUGGUGUGGUAAAGGCGCACCAAGGCGACGAUCCUUAGCUGGUCUGAGAGGAUGAUCAGCCACACUGGGACUUAGACACGGCCCAGACUCCUACGGGAGGCAGCAGUGGGGAACAUUGGACAAUGGGCGAAAGCCUGAUCCAGCAAUGCCGCGUGAGUGAUGAAGGCCUUAGGGUUGUAAAGCUCUUUUACCCGGGAUGAUAAUGACAGUACCGGGAGAAUAAGCCCCGUCUAACUCCGUGCCAGCCGCCGCAGUAA
rnacentral:rRNA from 1 species